CUUAUGCGUUGUUGGGUAGGGGAGCGUUCUGUAAGCCUGCGAAGGUGUGCUGUGAGGCAUGCUGGAGGUAUCAGAAGUGCGAAUGCUGACAUAAGUAACGAUAAAGCGGGUGAAAAGCCCGCUCGCCGGAAGACCAAGGGUUCCUGUCCAACGUUAAUCGGGGCAGGGUGAGUCGACCCCUAAGGCGAGGCCGAAAGGCGUAGUCGAUGGGAAACAGGUUAAUAUUCCUGUACUUGGUGUUACUGCGAAGGGGGGACGGAGAAGGCUAUGUUGGCCGGGCGACGGUUGUCCCGGUUUAAGCGUGUAGGCUGGUUUUCCAGGCAAAUCCGGAAAAUCAAGGCUGAGGCGUGAUGACGAGGCACUACGGUGCUGAAGCAACAAAUGCCCUGCUUCCAGGAAAAGCCUCUAAGCAUCAGGUAACAUCAAAUCGUACCCCAAACCGACACAGGUGGUCAGGUAGAGAAUACCAAGGCGCUUGAGAGAACUCGGGUGAAGGAACUAGGCAAAAUGGUGCCGUAACUUCGGGAGAA
rnacentral:rRNA from 1 species